CUAUUUUGUGUCCGUUCGAAAAAUAUUCUCGCUGAGUUUUCCUCGCACUGUUUUUUCCACUUCUUUCCUAAUGCACGUGUUUUAAUCUACAUUGCCUUUGAUUUUUGUUCCAGGUGCGGAUUUUUGCAGUUAUAUGAUAACAAUUCUGCCUGGCUACGUGAAUUCGCCAAGACUAAUAAAUGGAGCCUGAGCUAGAUACGUUUGGAUCGUAGCGCCAUGACCUGUCCCUGCCGCCUCCGACCGCAUUCACCAUGUGAUCUACGAUUAAUCUUCAAAAUUUGGUAAGAUCUUCCUAGCUUGCAAUAAUUUUUUGUACCUAUCCGUUCGUAAAAUUGGAUGUAUGGUUUUUCUCCCAUCCACCUAUUUUUUUACGCCGCUGAUAGUGGCGAUGCAUGAAUGAUUGAUUAUCAAUAUUUCCUCCUUUGAAGUUAUGAUAAAAAAUCGAUUAUUAAGGUGUUCGUAUCGAACGCCCUGUUAAUCGAUCCUUUACCAUCGGUUUAAGUGGCAGAAUGUUCACACGGCAUUUUUCCGUAGCACAGCAGCAUGGUCCGGCAUCUAUUAAUUUUAAUGUUAGUGGGCUGUGGAGCUGAAUGAGGAGGUAUACAGCUCAAAUCCGUGUGUAAAGGCUUUACAAAAUCAAAUUAAUUACUGUUCAAUAACGAACAGUAUACCACAUCAACGCGUGCUCACCCACUCCUCCUGUCUCCCCACUCCAGCGGGCCGAUAAUUGAAAUUGAUAGACAAAGCGAUAGACAAAGAAGACAAAAGAAUGGAGGGAUCCUAUUGGUGGAAACGGGUGGUUGCAAUGGACAAAGGAGUUAGGUAAUAGACUAAGUAACGGCAACCCACGAGGGACCCGAUAGUUAGUCCAUCAUUUUCUCUCUUAGUCUAUAAGAACCAACCAUUUCAACCAAUAGGAUAGCUCUAUACUCCCUAUGUCUUCUUUGUCUAUCGCUUUGUCUAUCAAUUUCAAUAAUCGGCCCGCAGGGGUCGAACACCGCAAAUAUUAAACGAAGAAACCCGCGGAAGAC
rnacentral:lncRNA from 1 species